GGGGAAUAUUGGACAAUGGGCGAAAGCCUGAUCCAGCAAUACCGCGUGAGUGAUGAAGGCCCUAGGGUUGUAAAGCUCUUUCAGUUGGGAAGAUAAUGACGGUACCAACAGAAGAAGCACCGGUUAACUACGUGCCAGCAGCCGCGGUAAGACGUAGGGUGCUAGCGUUGUUCGGAAUUACUGGGCGUAAAGAGCGCGUAGGCGGUCUAAUAAGUUGGAAGUGAAAGCCCGGGGCUUAACCUCGGAAUUGCUUUCAAAACUGUUAGACUAGAGUUUGGUAGGGGGUGAUGGAAUUCCUAGUGUAGAGGUGAAAUUCUUAGAUAUUAGGAGGAACACCGGUGGCGAAGGCGAUCACCUGGCCCAAUACUGACGCUGAGGCGCGAAAGCGUGGGGAGCAAAC
rnacentral:rRNA from 1 species